ACAAAUAGGGUUUACGACCUCGAUGUUGGAUCAGGACAUCCCAAUGGUGCAGCCGCUAUUAAAGGUUCGUUUGUUCAACGAUUAAAGUCCUUCGGUAUGGAAUAAUUUUAUUCAUCAUCUCAGAAGUCUUUUUCUUCGCUGGAUUCUUCUGAGCAUUCUACCACUCCAGCCUAGCCCCCACCCCUCAACUAGGAGGACACUGACCCCCAACAGGCAUCACUCCACUCAACCCCCUAGAAGUCCCACUCCUAAACACAUCUGUACUACUCGCAUCGGGAGUUUCAAUUACUUGAGCUCACCAUAGCCUA
rnacentral:lncRNA from 1 species